UGCAGUCGUACGCUUCUUUUUCCACCGGAGCUUGCUCCACCGGAAAAAGAAGAGUGGCGAACGGGUGAGUAACACGUGGGUAACCUGCCCAUCAGAAGGGGAUAACACUUGGAAACAGGUGCUAAUACCGUAUAACAAUCGAAACCGCAUGGUUUUGAUUUGAAAGGCGCUUUCGGGUGUCGCUGAUGGAUGGACCCGCGGUGCAUUAGCUAGUUGGUGAGGUAACGGCUCACCAAGGCCACGAUGCAUAGCCGACCUGAGAGGGUGAUCGGCCACAUUGGGACUGAGACACGGCCCAAACUCCUACGGGAGGCAGCAGUAGGGAAUCUUCGGCAAUGGACGAAAGUCUGACCGAGCAACGCCGCGUGAGUGAAGAAGGUUUUCGGAUCGUAAAACUCUGUUGUUAGAGAAGAACAAGGAUGAGAGUAACUGUUCAUCCCUUGACGGUAUCUAACCAGAAAGCCACGGCUAACUACGUGCCAGCAGCCGCGGUAAUACGUAGGUGGCAAGCGUUGUCCGGAUUUAUUGGGCGUAAAGCGAGCGCAGGCGGUUUCUUAAGUCUGAUGUGAAAGCCCCCGGCUCAACCGGGGAGGGUCAUUGGAAACUGGGAGACUUGAGUGCAGAAGAGGAGAGUGGAAUUCCAUGUGUAGCGGUGAAAUGCGUAGAUAUAUGGAGGAACACCAGUGGCGAAGGCGGCUCUCUGGUCUGUAACUGACGCUGAGGCUCGAAAGCGUGGGGAGCAAACAGGAUUAGAUACCCUGGUAGUCCACGCCGUAAACGAUGAGUGCUAAGUGUUGGAGGGUUUCCGCCCUUCAGUGCUGCAGCUAACGCAUUAAGCACUCCGCCUGGGGGAGUACGACCGCAAGGUUGAAACUCAAAGGAAUUGACGGGGGCCCGCACAAGCGGUGGAGCAUGUGGGUUUAAUU
rnacentral:rRNA from 1 species